UACGAAGGGGGCGAGCGUUGUUCGGAUUUACUGGGCGUAAAGGGCGCGUAGGCGGCGCUUCAAGUCGCGUGUGAAAGCCCCGGGCUCAACCUGGGAGGUGCGCGCGAGACUGUGGUGCUGGAGUUCGGGAGAGGAGCGUGGAAUUCCCAGUGUAGAGGUGAAAUUCGUAGAUAUUGGGAAGAACACCAGUGGCGAAGGCGGCGCUCUGGACCGAGAACUGACGCGUGA
rnacentral:rRNA from 1 species